rnacentral:rRNA from 1 species
GACGAACGCUGGCGGCGUGCUUAACACAUGCAAGUCGAGCGAUGAAGCACCUUCGGGUGUGAAUUAGCGGCGAACGGGUGAGGAACACGUGAAGAAUCUGCCUUCAACUCUGGGAUAACUCCGGGAAACCGGGGCUAAUACCGGAUAUGAGCCUUAAUCGCAUGAUCGGGGCUGGAAAGUUUUUCGGUUGAAGAUGACUUCGCGGCCUAUCAGCUUGUUGGUGAGGUAACGGCUCACCAAGGCGACGACGGGUAGCCGGCCUGAGAGGGCGACCGGCCACAGUGGGACUGUGAUACGGCCCAGACUCCUACGGGAGGCAGCAGUGGGGAAGAUUGCACAAUGGGCGCAAGCCUGAUGCAGCGACGCCGCGUGAGGGAUGACGGCCUUCGGGUUGUAAACCUCUUUCAGCAUCGACGAAGCGAAAGUGACGGUAGGUGCAGAAGAAGGACCGGCCAACUACGUGCCAGCCGCCGCCGUAA